GCUGCAGAGUAGACAGUAGGCUACCUGCUUUCUUGAGCUAUUGUAGAAUAAAAAUGACCAACAACUCAUCAAUACUGAAACCAUCUGGUGGAGAUGAUGACCGACUGUCAGAUCUUCUGAGAAAUGACGUUUUCGUGGAUUUCUUUAACACCUUUCUGAACCUACCGGUUUUUGGUCAAACUCCUCUCUUCUUUCUGUCAGACAACAAAUGGUUAACGUGUCCUGAGAUACCUCAAGGCCAG